rnacentral:rRNA from 1 species
GAUGAACGCUGGCGGCGUGCUUAACACAUGCAAGUCGAACGAUUAAAGCCCCUUCGGGGGUGUAUAGAGUGGCGAACGGGUGAGUAACACGUGGGCAGUCUGCCCCUCACUUCGGGAUAACUCAGGGAAACUUGAGCUAAUACCGGAUACUCCGAACUGAUCGCAUGGUCGGUUCGGGAAAGCUCCGACGGUGAGGGAUGAGCCCGCGGCCCAUUAGCUUGUUGGUAGGGUAACGGCCUACCAAGGCGACGAUGGGUAGCCGAGCUGAGAGGCUGAUCGGCCACACUGGGACUGAGACACGGCCCAGACUCCUACGGGAGGCAGCAGUGGGGAAUUUUGCGCAAUGGGCAAAAGCCUGACGCAGCAACGCCGCGUGCGGGAUGAAGGCUCUCGGGUCGUAAACCGCUUUCAGCAGGGAUGAAAUUGACAGUACCUGCAGAAGAAGCCCCGGCUAAAUACGUGCCAGCAGCCGCAGUAAGAC